rfam:Schistosoma margrebowiei strain Zambia genome assembly, scaffold: SMRZ_scaffold0001851
GCACUACUGAUGAGCCCCACAACAGGGCGAAACGGCCAUCUAGUGC